UCGGACAGAUCUUAGUGAACCACGUGUGUUUUUGUUACAACUGGCUUUUGGCACCUAGGGAGAUUGUUCACGUGCCAUAAAUAAGGUUGUUGAGAUACUUAUCUCUGCGGAAUAAGAUCAAUGUGUGUCUGACAGAGCUAUGAAGUACUUACUACUAAUUUGGUGGUUUGGAGUAUUGUGAAUUUUAUAUGAUAAACUAAUUACCCACCACAUUGUUUCACGGCAUUAUUAGUUUUUUUCCUUUCAGUGUAUUCGGUAAAAAUGGAAGUAGCACACGAAAAAUAACAUUCUAGUACAGAUUAUGUCAUUGUGAUAAAUGUCUUUUUUUUUUUUAUCAAAAAUGGAAAAUAUUUGAGAAACGGUUUCAAUACAUUUAUAUAUAGAGCGAUUUACAUCCCAAAUUUUUUUCCUUUUACCAAAUACAUGCACUAUUGACAUUUUAUGUCACACGAUGCAUAGUUUUGUCCGUUUAUACCUUGGGUUUAUUUGUACAUAACCAAAAGAAAAAAAAAAGAAAUUAAAUUUGUAGUAAGAAGGUAGGAAGAGAUAGGACGAGAAAUGAAGAGAUUUUUGUUAGUUAAUGAAUUAAAAAUUUUUUUGGUCAUUUGGCCUAAUUUCCCUUAUACCUUUCACCAUAUAGUUUUGUCCCAUUGUACCUUCAGUUUUUUUUUAAUACAAAAUUAAUCUUAUAACAUUCUAAUUUUAUUUAUAAAUUACAGUUUAUGUUUAAUAGUUAAACAUUUAUGUAGUUUAUGUUUUGUUUAUUUAUCAAACUAAUAUAUGUAUAAUACAAAAUAAAUUCUAUAUUUACUAAAAAGUAAAAAUAUAUUCAUCAAAAUAUAAUUUAAUUUCGUAUUUUUAUUUAUGUAAUGUAUACAAUAUUUUUAGUAUAUGUCUAAUAUAUAAUCAAUUAUGUAUGUAUUAAAAUAGUAAAAAUAUAAAGAUAUUCAUCAGAAUAUAAUUUAAUAUCAUAUUUCAAUUUUAUAUAAAAAAUCAUAAUAAACCUAAAACAUAUAAAAAUAAAAUAAAACUGAUGAAAUUAAUAAAAGUAAAUAAAAACUAGAAAAAAUAUUUAUAUUGUGUAUAACAUCAAACCUUUGAAAUACAUAUAAAAUUUCUUUAUCUAUAUAUAUAAAAAAAUGUUUGCUUCACUCAUGUGCGUCCAAUCACUAAGUCGUUGCCUGAUGUUGCGACACCUGUCCUCUUUUUCAAAAACGCAUCGUUUCAUUAAACAUAUGUCAUAUUGGGCUUCGUUUGUAUAUGUCGUGUAAUGGACCUUUUAAUGAACCGAGUUUGGGCCCGACGUGAAAGAAAUCGUUCUAACCCUAAUACGCCGCAUCGAAGGUAUGGAGUACGUCUCUUCUCUACGUGCGAUGACGAGGUGGUGUCGUUUGCGAUUCAUCUCGCGACGUGAAACGUUCUGAUUAAUGGAUCCCUCUUUAAUCCCAUUGAUUUACACCUCUCUAUUGUUCUUUGAAAACGCUGAAUGGCUCUCUAUUGUGACCAUCUUUUUCUUGCAAGAACCAGAGAGAUCUAACCGGAAAACUUAUAGGCUAUUUGAUCUUGCCAUAGAAGAUGAAAGAGUUGUAAGUGGUUCAAGUGGAACAACAGCCUUCACAGCUUUUCUGAUUGGACAUCACUUAGUGGUUGUUAACGCAUGUGAUUGUCGUGCAAUUAUCUGCCGGAAAGAAGAAGCUGUUGAUAUGGAAAGGGAAGCUUCGGAUAAUAUUACAUUGGCGGUCAAAUGCUUCGUGCCGUCAGCACCUACUCCUCAGAGGAGAAGAAUACAGUUAUUUGUUUCAGAUGAAUCCCGAGCAUGGUUACGGUGAUCAGUUUUGUAUAUAUGUUUGGUUGAAGUUCCAUUUUUUAUUCUGGUGAAGAGAUUUUGGUAAAGUUUGAAUUUUAAUACAUGAAUGUGCUGUAGUAAAAGUAAUAUGUUUUUAGUUUACGAUUUAUUUGUAGUUGAGCACUAAUUACUGGUUUCUAUCUUUAAAAAAAAAACAGCUUCUCAGACUUAAGAUCAAGCAAAAAUUAGUCUGAAGCUCGGGGAGAGUAAAGUAUGUGGAUCUCCAUCCUACAGAACCAUGGAUUUGAGCAAGUUUAUGUUUUUGUGUAUUUGGAACUACCAGACACAGGUGGCAAAUAUUGGUGAUCAAACUGGGUUGAUCUCUGUCAAGAACAAACAAAAACGACAACACCUCCUCCCCCAUGUUAAGUCUGCAUGAUUCUUCUAUUACAUGACUGCAUUUCCUUACCUUUCUUUCAAGAUAUAAUCAAAUUACAUUACACGUAGCAAAAAAAAAAAAGAUUUUACAUUACACUCACAACUCUCUUUUACGAUGAGUGGUGCUUUGCCUUUUUAAUUAAAAUUUACACCCCUCUUCAAUUAUAUAUUUUUUUUUCAAUUAUACCUUCUUAAAUAGUAUAUGUAAAAAAUAUAUCAAAAAACAAACAUAUGCAAAUUGCUUUACAAACAUCUGUACAAAUACAAUAUUACUCAGCAAUACGCUGCAGCAAAAUUAUAUACAAGUCACAUAUAGCUCAGUACACAAUAUAAUAAUCAAACUACAUGAACAUAACAAAACAAAAAAUAAUCCAACAACAUAUUUAGCUACAAAAAAGCAUUACACACAUUUCUCAAGCCCAUAGAUGCGAGCUUAGCAAACGUAAUAGCCCAAUGUCUCUAACGGGCGUACAAAAUACAGCUAAUUACAAACAAAAUUUAGCAUCCAAUCUUACAUGGUCCAACCAAAAGGAGACGCUAACAAGUAACCUAUCUUUAGAGCAUGUAUUAAGAAGAGUUGAAAAUUCAAGCUACAUAUUACUUAAUAAGCAUUGACCCAAACUAUGGAUGCUAAAUAUUUACACUCUCCUCAAUACAAUUAUACAAACCCUACAUGGUCCUUCUAACCGCAAAGGCAACCAAAGUUAUCUCAUAUUUCGAAUAAUUGAAUAUUCCUUUAAAUUUAUAGUAAGCAAUAAUGCUGACUUUCAUUUUAUUAUUGAACAUACCCCAAAAUACGUUCCAAAAAAAAUAUCAAAAAAUAUGAGGUUCACAAUUUGUUUGUAAUAUCUCAUAAAAUAAAACAAUAAAAUUAAUAGGAAACUAAACAUUAUCCUAACAAACAAUGAUUAUACAAUUAUGUCCAAACAAAAAUAUUACGUAGUUUAAUUUCGCGUGUCGCACGGACCAACCCAAUGUCUUCCAUUGUUUUAUAUAUAUACGUACGUAAAAAUAUAGAUUAUGCAAUUACAUCAAAACAAAUAUAGGACGAAGUGGAACAAAAUAUUUUGAAAAGACAUCCGUGAAAGUUAAGAAUUCAACGGUUUUAAAACUAAAAUAGAAUUAUGAUUGGUUGUACAUUUAAAAAAGUUUUGCAUCAAAAUUUAUAUAAGUGAGAUAAAUGAGUAUGUAGAUCAUGGGUCUAAAUAAUUCGGUUGUAAGUGCAGAAAUUUUGUUGUAACAAUUUAGUUUGUAGAAAUUAGGUUUUAGUGAUGUAGUUGUAAAAUUUUAAUGUAGACAAAUAUUAUAAUUUUUAAACCGGUGUUUUAAGAAAAAAAAAUACUUUAAAAGGAUUGUAUAUUUAAAGGUGAGGGUCAAGUAAAUUACUAAGAGAAUAAUUGGAAACAAAAAAUUUUAAAAAACAAUUAAGUGAAAUGAAACAUUUCUAUAAUCCAACCAAUCAAACACAUAACUAAAAUUUACUUCUUCUUUUUUUUUUUUCAUUUUGCUCAUCCUUAUAUAUAAUUUCCAAUAACAAAAAUAUCAGAAAUUUGAAUAUUAAACUUUUUGAAGUUUGUAAGACAGGAAAAAGUAAAUAAUUAAAAAAUAUUUUAUAAUUGUCUAGAUACUUAUAUUUCUAUAAUAGAUUAUACCAUUUAUAUAUCAAAAUAAACACACAUACAAAAUAUAUAAUAAAAAGAUAACAUUUAAACAAAAACCCCGGGCGUAGCCCGGGCCGACCCUAGUAAUAUAUAAAAACAUAACAAAACUCCUUAACUAUAAGUUAUUAAUUGUAUAUCAGCCAAAUACAAAUAUUAAUUACAUUAUAUAUAAUAUUUAUUAACAAAAUAUUAACUAUGUAUUUAAUAAAAUUACAUACUUGAAAAUUGAAAAACUAUACAUAAAAGUUUAAAUAAAAUCAUUUACAAUUGAUUCCUAAUAUUUCUCAGAUUUUAAAAUUUUGAAAUAUAUUUUGACCAAUGAGAAAAAUAUAUAUCUUAGUUAGACCAUCUCUAAAAACAAUUUUAUUUUUAAAGUUGGCAAAAUUUCAAAUUUAAAAUUUGGAAAAAACAAUCUUCAAAAAAGUUUCAAACUUUUGAACUUUUAUAUUAUACAUUGCGGUCUUUACUAUUGAUAAAGUUUAUUAAAAUCAUAAAAUAUUAAUAAUACAUACAUUUGAAAGCUGUGCUAAAUAAUAUUGAUUGAUAAAAUGAACAUUAUAAAUGAUAAUAAACACACAGAAACUGUAUAUUUUAUGUAAACUAUCAAAUUACUUAAUAUAAUUCUUUUAAUGUUUUUAUAUAUGAUUAAUUAAUAAAAUUUAAAGAUGAUAUGUAAAUUUAUUUUUUUAGCUGUAAGUAUGUUAUGAGAUCAAAGUUAUUAAAUUCGAUAUUUUAUAUGUGAAAUAUUUAUGAGAAAUAUGAAAUAAUAAUUAUAAACGUUAACAAAAUUUUUGAGAAAAACUCAAAACAUAUGACUUCAAAUAUGAAAUUUUGUUUUCACUAUUCAAAACUGUAAAAUUUAAAAUUUUAGAAUAAGUUAACUUUUUAUUUUUAAAUAUGAAGGUUGGUUUGUUUUACCGAUGCUCUUCACUUGGGGUAGACCUAACAUGAACAUACACCUAUUCAACCCAAGUCCUAAUCUUGUUCCGCAAGAGGAUUUAAGAGUUCAUGUAUUAUAAAUUUGUGAUGGUUUAGACCAAAAAAAAAUAAAAAAAUUUGUGAUGGCGUAGCUCAGAACAGAAAGCGAACACGUCUGGGAUGUUUCAUUGUGUAUGUGUCUUCUUGAUGAAUUUUCAGACUCAAGAGCUCACAGUCCUACACAAUCCUCAUUAAUUUUAUAGACACACAGUUCAUGCAGCGUGCUUCUGUUCCGGCCUGAACUCUCGCUUUAGCUGGUUUAGUAUUACUACUAGUAUUAUCUUUCGUACCACGUACAGGCCUUUAUCUGUUUAUAAAUAUAUAUUAUAUAUGUUUGUGUUGAACAUAUUAUAUAUGUUGUAAGAAAAGAACAUAUUAUAUAUACAUUUAAUUUAAAAUCUUCUCUAUUAAAAGAGAAGUACCAUUUUUAUCUAUUACAAAAUAGUCAUACUAGAAAUUUAGGUUCAUAUAUUCAAAUAUUUUUUUAUUGUUUACAUUAGUUUAUUUAAUGUAUAACAUUUCUAAAUAAUUAUAAGGAUAUUAAUAACAAAUCCAUUUUAACUAUAAAUUUAAAUUUUAGUUUUAGAAAUAACAAAAUCUGUUGAGAAAAAUCUAAUAAAAUCUUUU